UAGUCCACGCCGUAAACGAUGUCAACUAGCCGUUGGGUCCAUUUAAGGGCUUAGUGGCGCAGCUAACGCGAUAAGUUGACCGCCUGGGGAGUACGCCGGCAACGGUAAAACUCAAAUGAAUUGACGGGGGCCCGCACAAGCGGUGGAGCAUGUGGUUUAAUUCGAUGCAACGCGAAAAACCUUACCUACCCUUGACAUCCUCAGAACUUGCUAGAGAUAACUUGGUGCCUUCGGGAAUUGAGUGACAGGUGCUGCAUGGCUGUCGUCAGCUCGUGUCGUGAGAUGUUGGGUUAAGUCCCGCAACGAGCGCAACCCUUAUCCUUAGUUGCCAGCACAUUAUGGUGGAACUCUAUUCAGACUGCCUACGUAAGUAGCGAGGAAGGCGGGGAUGACGUCAAAUCAUCAUGGCCUUUAUGCCUAGGGCGACACACGUGCUACAAUGGCCGGUACAGAGGGCAGCCAACCCGCGAGGGGGAGCCGAAUCCCAGAAACGCCGGUCCCAGUUCGAA
rnacentral:rRNA from 1 species